CCUACGGGUGGCUGCAGUGAGGAAUAUUGGUCAAUGGACGCAAGUCUGAACCAGCCAAGUAGCGUGCAGGAUGACGGCCCUCCGGGUUGUAAACUGCUUUUAGUUGGGAAUAAAAGGGGGCUCGUGAGCCCCGUAUUGUAUGUACCAUCAGAACAAGGACCGGCUAAUUCCGUGCCAGCAGCCGCGGUAAUAAGGAAGGUCCGGGCGUUGUCCGGAUUUAUUGGGUUUAAUGGGAGCGUAGGCCGGCUUUUAAGUCAGCUGUGAAAGUCCGCGGCUCAACCGUGGAAUUGCAGUUGAAACUGGAAGCCUUGAGUGCAGACAGUGAUGCUGGAAUUCAUGGUGUAGCGGUGAAAUGCUUAGAUAUCAGGAAGAACUCCGAUCGCGAAGGCAAGUUUCCGGUGUGCAACUGACGCUGAGGCUCGAAAGUGCGGGUAUCAAACAGGAUUAGAUACCCGGGUAGUC
rnacentral:rRNA from 1 species